CAUGGCUCAGUUGGUAGGGCGUCGACUUCAUAAGCCGAAGGUUGCGGGUUCAAUUCUUGG
rnacentral:tRNA from 1 species